GGAGGCAGGUGGCCCUUGUUCCUCUCCUGAGAGGUCCUGCCCCUGGAGCCUGCAGACCCUCGGCCUCAAGGACAAAACAGAGGGGAGAAUCUGGGCCAGAAAAUCAGAAACUUCAUCCCGGACCACGCACUAACUCCUGGGCCUGACUUGGAAACAAGUGCCAAGAGCAUUCCAGAGGGGUCAGAGGGAGUGUUUACUGUCAGACUGUGAAGAAACUUCCUCCAAUAAACCCUUGGGUCACGUAUCAACCCUCGAGUAAUGCCUUCAAGACUGAGUACUCAGCAAACCCUCAUUCGGCACCUACUGUGUGUCAGGCCCCAGCCCAGGCGUGGAGACACAGAGACACAGGGAAUGUAGUAGAAGGAGGCAUUGACCUAUCCUCGAAGGCCGGUAACAAGGGUCUCCUUUGGACACCAAUUGUUUCUCUGCCCGACUGCAUUCUUUUUUCCAAAAAUGUUAAACGCCGUGGAAUGCGUGAGUUCAACAAUCAACACUCUUCAGAGACAACCAGUGACCGGUGCCGGCUGAGCACAAUUCUCCAGCACUUCCUUCCGGGCUUCAACAUAGCGACGACUCCAGGGCUUACUGUCUUCCAGGCCUGCAGAGACAAAGCCUCGCAGGGUUGCACGCAUUCCAUCCUCGAAACACCUCCCAGAGGAAAGCACUAGGAGCGAGCACGCCCGGUUUCUGCGCAGGGAAACCGAGGCACGGCAACAGUGAGUCACACGGUGCAAGUCACACGGGAAACCUGGCUCCGGGUCCGGGCCCUUAGCCCUGAGACACGGAGAGCUGCGGAACCUGUCCACCCUCAGCCGCGCUCAGACCAGUGUCAGCCCCGCUCUCUGCUGCUUGCAACACGGCGAGUGAAUCCAAACGCCCACACGAAAACAGCGUUCACCCCAACAGCCUCGCACUGUACGAACUGUCCUGAGCCUGAACUAGACCUUGUGAACAUCCGCUGUUAUCACAGGCAGAUCUACUGCCUUCACUUCAAGGUCUGUUCGGUACUCCAAAUUUGAGCGCAUCGCAGUGGAUCGGACCAGUCUCCUCCCAGGACUUGCGGGGUGGUUUCCGGUGUUCCACUCUUACAAACCGUGUUCCCCGCAGAGAUCUUCGCUGGGGCCGAUGAGCAUUUCGGCCACAUGGAUUCCUGGAAGAGGGGUCGCCAGGUCAAUGGUGCGGCCACACCUGCCGAGCUGCCCGCCGGGCAGACUGGUCCAGAGCUCAUUUCCAUCCACCGGAGGAAGAAUGUCUGAGCUGGCCGCGUUUAAAUGCCUUUUCCCGUUGUGGCUGGCCGCUGAGCUGCAUUUCACAGCCUCCCUGCACUUUGCAUUUUUAUCUGUGCUCUUAAAUGGCUUUGAGAAGGUCAGGAUAAAAA